CCAGAUCUGCCAGCGCAGACAUGAUCGGGAGAGCCGAGCAGUGUGUCCAGAUCUUGAAGGACUACAGCAGCCUCCUGUUUGUGGUCCAGAUUGAAGAGCCAACUCCUUGAUACAGUCAUCAAAAUCAUGAGGAGCCGUUUCAAGGACCUGGAGAGUGACAAGAUUCUUCAGGCGGCUGCGAGGUUGGUGGACCCAAGGGAGUGGCCCGCAGAGGAGGCAGACCUGGCCAGUUACAGAGCAGAUCAUCUCCGUGUCAUCACAGACCACGUUGCUGACAUACUGGAUUGCGUGGGCUGUGACAGGGGUCAGGCAAGGCACCAGGAGUGGCCAAGCGCAAAAGUGGUGAUCAAAGCGCUGCCCCAGGUCCAACAAAGCAAGGUAUGGGCAGACUUUUUAACAGACCCUGAAAGGCUGCAGAGCUUCCCCAACCUGCUGAUGGUGGUUGAGCUGAUCCUCGUGCUCCCACUAUCCACCACUGCCUGUGAGCAUGGCUUCAGUGCCAUGAAGCGCAUUAAAACGGAUUGGCGGAGCAACCCUUCAGUUGAAAUGCUGUGGAAAUUGCUAUACAUUAGCAUUGAGGGGCCAGCAGUUGCCAAUUUUGAUGCUGAGCGUGUUGUACAAAGAUGGCUGUCAGCAGGGCAGAGAGCACGUCGGGUAUAAUUAAGAUUUGUAUUUGUAUGUUUGUUGCUUCGCAUCUAUGACACUCUGUGUCCUUGCUCUGUUUCAUUUACUUAAAUAAAGAUUAAACAUGACAAUUAA